GAGAUCCAGACGACUCUGCUCUUUGUCAGACAGUGUGGCCAAAUAUGGGUAGCGUCGGUUUUCUGUGAGAGCAGCCAAGUGUCUUUGGGAGUUAAUAUAAACAUCAAGCUGCCCUGUUCAGAGGAGGAGACUGCAGAUUGACCCUCCAUUUAAUUAGACAGGACCCUCAACUGGCAUCCUGCUCCACUAAGAAACAUAACUUAGAGGGGACUGAAAACUUCACCUCAGAGAAGCAGACCAACAGAGAUACUGAGGCAGAGAGAGACAAGACAGUAGGACCGGACAAGAAUGGGGUCGAGUCACUGCAGCAGGCAGGCCCAACAUGGCGCUGAUUGAAUGACCCAACUGGCAUACCAGCAAUGUGUUUAUAAAAAACUCUGCAAUGGGGAGCCUGCUGUCCUCUAUGCCCCCUUCAGCUCCGGAUAUCCCUGGAAUUUAUCUACUUUUUGAAGCACUGACAUGAGGAAGCAAUUUCUACGACUUACUCGCAUAAUCAGCAACUGAGCCAAAACGUGACACC